rnacentral:rRNA from 1 species
AACGAACGCUGGCGGCAUGCUUCAUACAUGCAAGUCGAACGGUUGUAGCAAUACAAUAGUGGCGAACGGGUGAGUAACACGUGGAUAAUCUGCCCUUUGGCGGGGGAUAUCGGCUGGAAACGGCCGGCAAUACCGCAUGUGGUUCGUGGGUCUUCGGCCCUGCGAAAGAAAGGCGCUUCACGGCGUCACCAGAGGAUGAGUCCGCGGCCCAUUAGCUAGUUGGUGAGAUAACAGCCCACCAAGGCUUUGAUGGGUAGCCGAGCUGAGAGGUUGAUCGGCCACACUGGAACUGAGACACGGUCCAGACACCUACGGGUGGCAGCAGUAGGGAAUAUUGGACAAUGGGCGCAAGCCUGAUCCAGCAAUGCCGCGUGAGUGACGAAGGAUUUCGGUCUGUAAAGCUCUUUUCUGGGGGAAGAAAUGAUGGAAGAGGAAAUGCUUCCAUUUUGACGGUACCUCAGGAAUAAGGGAC